AACAAAACGCUGGCGGCGUGCCUAACACAUGCAAGUCGAACGCGAAAAUCGGCUUCGGCCGAUGAGUAAAGUGGCGCACGGGUGAGUAACGCGUGGAUAAUCUACCCUUCAGUUGGGAAUAACUUAUCGAAAGGUGAGCUAAUACCGAAUAAAACUGCCUGACCACGGUCGGGUAGUCAAAGAUAGCCUCUGCUUGCAAGCUUUCGCUGAAUGAUGAGUCCGCGUACCAUUAGCUAGUUGGUGGGGUAAUGGCCUACCAAGGCGACGAUGGUUAGCUGGUCUGAGAGGAUGAUCAGCCACACUGGAACUGAGACACGGUCCAGACUCCUACGGGAGGCAGCAGUGAGGAAUCUUGCGCAAUGGGGGAAACCCUGACGCAGCAACGCCGCGUGAGUGAGGAAGGUCUUCGGAUCGUAAAGCUCUGUCGGGUGGAAAGAAUGUAUGGGGUUAAUAGCCUUCAUACUUGACGGUACCACCAAAGGAAGCACCGGCUAAC
rnacentral:rRNA from 1 species